GUCUCCAGUGAGGAUUGUUUAAAUAUGGAGGAACUAAGUACAGAAGGCGGGGACUCACUGACAAAGCCGGAGGCUGCUGUAGAUGAAGGACGCCUGCAGUGUGCACUAAACUUGUGAGCUCUGCUGCACCAGAAGAGGCUGACCUCAAACUACCUCCUGCUUCAACCUUCAAAGGUCUAGGACUAAAGACUCUAGUCACACUACAAGUUUACUCUAAUGCGGUGAUUCUCAACCUUCCUAAGGCUGUGACCCUUCAAUACAGUUCCUCCUGUUGCAGUGAUCCCCAACUGUAGUUAUUUUUGUUGCUACAUCACAACUAUAAAAUUUUGCUACUGCUGUAAAACAUAAGAUUGACGUUGCAGCCUCUCUGGAGAAAGAGCCACCGCACUGCUCUUGGGCAGAAGGCUCAGCAAACACCAGUCGCAGGUUGAGGACCCUCAGUACGCAUGCACAAAUACACGAAGGCUCUUAAGAGGAUCAUGCAGGAGGAAGGAACUUGUGCUUCCGUUGUGUCUUUAUUCCACGGAAUUGUUACUGAUGGAUUCGUUUUAUGCUGGAAAGAACGAGGAAGGAAAAUGUUCCGACCACUGGACGGUGAAUGCCUGGCCGUUUACUGGAAUGACUUGCUGACCUUUGUUCUGGAGUUCUGAGCCCUUCCUUUGGAUGAGAGAUCAGGUCAAACACUAGGGUCAAUGUUGGGUGUGUAAGAGGGGGGAGGGAAGGAAAGAGUAGUUCCAAGUCCAUUGGGAAAAGCCCAGACAACGACAACAAGAUCAGGGCUCACCUUGGGAAGUGUGGAAGGAAGGACAGGCUUAAUGUAAGGAAUUCUGUGGGAUUUACAAAAUCAAGAACACUCGACUUAUAAAGAUGCCCUUCCUUUCUAGCCACUGCUCUGAACAUUGUGGAGGAUCAUAAACAUAUUUCUAGGCCACAUCCCAAGAGGUCCAUAGUGCUGCCAGAGAGCAACUGUAUACCUUGUCAAUUAUGAGGAAAUCACACUGUCACCUUCUCAGCCGCUGUCCUUUCUCCUAUUUUAUUGGUUCACACUUAAUGCAAACACUAUUUGCCCUGUUAGAUGACUUUUGGUAAUGUCCCCAUUUUUCAGAUGAGAAAACUGAGGCCCAGGACAACUAAUGCAACACGAUUGGCAAAUGGAUGUAAUCAAGUUUCAAACAUGAGCCAGUGUAAUUUUAUUAUUUAUUUAUUUAUA